rnacentral:rRNA from 1 species
GAUGAACGCUAGCGGUGUGCCUAAUGCAUGCAAGUCGAACGGGAUCCUUUAGAUUCGUCUGAAGGUGAGAGUGGCGGACGGGUGAGUAACGCGUUGGUGACCUGCCCCGGAGAGGGGGACAACCAUUGGAAACGAUGGCUAAUACCCCAGAUGUCAUUGUGUUUAGAAAACAAUGACUAAACGCUCCGGCGCUCUGGGAGGGGCCCGCGUCCCAUCAGCUUGUUGGUAAGGUAAUGGCUUACCAAGGCAAAGACGGGUAGGGGGCGUGAGAGCGUGACCCCCCACACUGGUACUGAAACACGGACCAGAUACCUACGGGUAGCAGCAGCAAGGAAUAUUGCCCAAUGG